rnacentral:rRNA from 1 species
CCCUUAGAUGUUCUGGGCCGCACGCGCGCUACAAUGAUGAAUUCAACGAGUUUAUAACCUUGGUUGAAAAGCCUGGGUAAUCUUUUGAACUUUCGUCGUGAUGGGGCUAGACCCUUGCAAUUAUUGGUCUCCAACGAGGAAUUCCUAGUAAACGCAAGUCAUCAGCUUGCAUUGAUUACGUCCCUGCCCUUUGUACACACCGCCCGUCGCACCUACCGAUUGAAUGGUCCGGUGAAAUCUUCGGAUUGAGACUUUGAUUUCUUCACGGAAAACGUUGUGUUAUAAAGUUGAUUAAACCUUACCAUUUAGAGGAAGGUGAAGUCGUAACA